UACGAAGGGGGCUAGCGUUGCUCGGAAUCACUGGGCGUAAAGGGCGCGUAGGCGGCCAUUCAAGUCGGGGGUGAAAGCCUGUGGCUCAACCACAGAAUUGCCUUCGAUACUGUUUGGCUUGAGUAUGGCAGAGGUUGGUGGAACUGCGAGUGUAGAGGUGAAAUUCGUAGAUAUUCGCAAGAACACCAGUGGCGAAGGCGGCCAACUGGGCCAUUACUGACGCUGAGGAGCGAAAGCGUGGGGAGCGAACAGG
rnacentral:rRNA from 1 species